AUGUAGCUCAGUGAUACAGCAUUUGUCUAACAGGCAUGAGGUCCUGGGUUCAAUUCCCAGUAU
rnacentral:tRNA from 1 species